UCGGGAAUAUUGCGCAAUGGAGGAAACUCUGACGCAGUGACGCCGCGUGCAGGAAGAAGGUUUUCGGAUUGUAAACUGCUUUAGACAGGGAAGAAACAAGACAGUACCUGUAGAAUAAGCUCCGGCUAACUACGUGCCAGCAGCCGCGGUAAUACGUAGGGAGCAAGCGUUAUCCGGAUUUAUUGGGUGUAAAGGGUGCGUAGACGGGAAAUUAAGUUAGUUGUGAAAUCCCUCGGCUUAACUGAGGAACUGCAACUAAAACUGAUUUUCUUGAGUGCUGGAGAGGAAAGUGGAAUUCCUAGUGUAGCGGUGAAAUGCGUAGAUAUUAGGAGGAACACCAGUGGCGAAGGCGACUUUCUGGACAGUAACUGACGUUGAGGCACGAAAGUGUGGGGAGCAAACAGG
rnacentral:rRNA from 1 species